GUGUCCUUUGAAGACGUGGCUGUGUAUUUCUCAGAGGAAGAAUAGACAUUGCUGGACGAGGAGCAAAUAUUGUAUAGGGAGAUCAUGACGGAGACCUAUGAGAAUGUGGCCUUCAUGAAUGACACUGCCAACAAGCCCAAGCCCCAGACUUCAACACCUUCCAAGAGUCUAGGGGUCGGCGUGAAAGCACCUGUCAAACGUUUCAGGUUAGAACCUCUGGAUUCAGCUAAACUUGUUUCUAAGAAGCAACGCAGUAGAGACACGUUGCUAUUCAAUCAAGUCCAAGCAUAUAUAGCUGUUAACGAUUGCUUUACUGAGCUUCGCAGAAUGGCGGAAGAAGGGAACGCCUGUUAUAUGCAUUUUAAGGAAUGUAAAAAGAAGGUGGAACAAAUCGUUUUACAUGAUAUUCCAGCUCUUUAUAAUGAAAUGAAAGCAACACUCCUUGGUCACUGUCAGAUAAGUAGAAGGUUGUCCAGGAGAGGUAAAGGAGAGCAGAAGAAGCCCCCUCCAAGAGGCCUGUACUGGAGGGGACGUAAAUUGGUAAGCAAGGCGAAAAAAACUCUUGCCAAAUCCAAAAUUAACCAAAAACGUAAACAGGCUCUGUACUCAAGGAGGGCAGGCCCAACUACCUCUUCUACUAGUACAGACACACAGAGGGAAGGGCAUUCUGAACCUGCCGAGGGGGAACACCAACUCCAACACGUAGACUCCCCAUCUAAUGAGGAAGAGCACCAACUCCAACACGUAGAUUCCCCAUCUAGUGAGGAAGAGGACCAACUCCAACACAUAGACUCCCCAUCUAGUGAGGAUGAGCACCAACUCCAACACGUAGACUCCCCAUCUAGUGAGGAUGAGCACCAACUCCAACACGUAGACUCCCCAUCUAGUGAGAAUGAGCACCAACUCCAACACGUAGACUCCCCAUCUAGUGACGGGGAGUACCAACCCCAACAGGUAGACUCCCCAGGUAUUGAGGAUGAUGGGUCGCCUCGUGUGUUUCCAGAACACGUGCGCUCAUGACAUUCUACCUAUCCAAAAUUUAAUGCGUUGCGUAUUGGGGCAGCAUGCAGUUUAAAAAAUUUAGAAACCGUGAGAUCAUACGCUGAGGUUAUAAACACAUUAUACGCUGCUACCCAAGGUGUCUUAGAUGACCUGGACCAGAGAAUUGAUCCACACGAUUGUGUUCAGGUGAGAUUAGAAGCCUCAGGGCUACAAAAUCCCCUCAUAUUUUUUAAAAGAAGAUGGGAUCUCUUUAAUGCUAAGAGGUUUCUGGCCUAUGUGAGCCUUUGCUUGCAAAGCAACAUGAAAGUAUGUGCGCAUGCGGAUUUUGAGCUCGUAAUCACCAUAAUAAAACGGCCAGAAAAGUGGUGCACAUCGAAAACUGGGGUCCCUCCCUGCCAGUGAAAUAAUUCGCAGGAAGAGACAGUAAAUUGUAAUAGAACUAUAUACAGUAGAGUCUCACUUAUCCAAUAUAAACUUGCCAGCAGAACGUUGCAUAAGUGAAAAUGUUGGAUAAUAAGGAGGAAUUAAGGAAAAGCCUAUUAAACAUUGAAUUACAUUAUGAUUUUACAAAUUAAGCACCAAAACAUCAUGUUUUACAAUGAAUCGACAGAAAAAGCAGUUCAAUACACGUUAAUAUUAUGUAGAAAUUACUGUAUUUACAAAUUUAGCAUCAAAACAUCACAAUGAAUUUAAAACAUUGACUACUAAAAGGCUGACUGCGUUGGAUAAUACAGAACGUUGGAUAAGUGGAGGUUGGAUAAAUAAGACUCUGAUAUGUUUAAAGGGGAAAAUUGAAAACUAGAUGGAUAGCAGUUUCUUAUUAUGAUCAUUGUUAUUUUCAAUUAGAAUAUGCAAAAUGUUAAUAUGCUCAAUGAUGAUAUGUAUAAGUUGUAUUAAGGUGUGCAAUAUAUGAAUAUGUCUUUUUAAAUACCAUGUACUUUCCCAUCACAGAUACAGGUUCUUUAUUGUUGCAUUUUUAGAAAAAUUGUCAGUUGUAUAUUCUGAUAAUAAAAAAAAUUAAAAAGAGACAAUAUUUGAUAGAUUUACAUUAUUCUAGCUCUAACCUAUGUUUUGCUGGAGGUUUAUUUGGAUUCAGAGAUGCUGACAACGGCCUGAAAACUGCAUGCAAAAUUUGGUUGGUCUGAUCAGAAAAAGGUAGAGUCGGAAACGACUGAAUGAAUAAACAACAAUAUGUGACUGUAGGUCCCAUCAUAAAGCACAUGCAGGCAAAAAUCUGACUUUGGGAAACAGCUUCCGUUGAAAUUUUAAAGGCGUGAUUCUCAUACUAUCCUCCCUUUCGGUUCUCAUGGACACCAAAAAAGUCCAGUUUAUUCCAGUUUUGCCUGUUUUGCACCUGUUCCCUGAGCUCUUCCUGCUUAGUAAUAGAGAGUCAAUGAAAAUAUAUUAGGUAAGCAUUGCACUGUAUGCAACAAACACUCGCAAAUGUAUGUAUAUUUGAAUGAAUUUAAUUUACCUUUUAAGCAUAAGCCCAUUAAGAUGAACAAUGUACAAGACCAAAGUGUGCCUUUUGGACUUCUGUACUGCAAUAAAAGCCCGCAGCCCCCAUUUUGGGGCACGGCAGUCUUUCUUUUUAUGCUCAAGCAACCUGCUGUCACUUGCUUUGGCCAGCAAAUAAAGUUUUUCUUCAGAGAGAUUCAACUCAUGAGUCUCCUUCACUCUGUCCUCCUGGAACAGAAGGGGACUCCUGAGAAUAGGCAGAGUGCCUGCCCCUUCGAAGUCUGCUUCACAUUAUGAUUUUACAAAUUAAGCACCAAAACAUCAUGUUUUACAUGGCAGAAAAAGCAGUUCAAUACACAGUAAUGUUAUAUGGUAAUUACUGUAUUUACGAAUUUAGCACCAAAACAUUGCAACAUUUACUACAAAAACAAUGACUACUAAAAGGCAGACUGUCUUGGAUAAUACAGAACCUUGGAUAAGUGAAGCUUGGAUAAGUGAGACUCUAUUGUACUAUAUAAUAUGUGCUAUGGCAAUAACGUAAUAUAUUGUGUAUACAUGUAAUAUUGAUACAAAUAUUAUGUAAUGCAAUAUAAUACUAAUAAUAAUACAAUAUAAUAAUAUUAAUUAUAUAUUAAAUGUACUAUUCCUUAUAAUAGUACGGUCUAGUGGUAUAGUACAAUAUAGUAAUGUAUAAUGCAAUUACAGUAGAGUCUCACUUAUCCAACGUUCUGGAUUAUUCAACGCAUUUUUGUAGUCAAUGUUUUCAAUACAUCCUGAUAUUUUGGUGCUAAAUUCGUAAAUACAGUAAUUACUACAUAGCAUUCCUGCACAUUGAACUAUUUUUUCUGUCAAAUUUGUUGUAUAACAUGAUGUUUUGGUGCUUAAUUUGUAAAAUCAUAAACCUAAUUUGAUGUUUAAUAGGCUUCUCCUUAAUCCCUCCUUAUUAUCCAACAUAUUCGCUUAUCCAAUGGUCUGCCGGCCCGUUUAUGUUGGAUAAGUGAGACUCUACUGUAUUGGGCUAUGCUAAUGAUAAAAUAAUAUUGUAUGCAAAUAUAACUUGUAAGCCGCUCUGAGUCCUCUUUCGGGGUGAGAGAGGGCGGGGGUAUAAAUGAAGUAAAUAAAUAAACAAAUAAAUAAAUCCUCCACCCAAAUUGGUCUCCUCCAAUAGAAAUCCAAAA
rnacentral:lncRNA from 1 species